AUUCUUACCCGGAUCUUCAAGGGUAAAUUCCUCCCCGAAGGGGUGGUGGGGUAGUCUAGUGGUUAGAACGUUCGCUUGUAUAUAUAUACACGUUGCAAUCUGUCAUGGGUUGUGUGUAAAGCAACACAGCCUUCCAUAUGUGGGUGUUUUAUCUUUGAAAAUACGGGUUAGAACUAAUAACAAGCAGCCCAUGCUUGUCCUGAGAGGCGACUAACAAGAUCGGGUGAGCAGGCUUGCUGACUUGGUUGAUACACCAUCGUCUUGCAGUUUGUAGAGUGAUGUUCAUGAUGUCAAUCACUGGAUUAUCUGGUCGAUUAUUUAUAGCCCACCGCCAUACAGCUGGAAAACUGCUGAGUGCGGCAUUAAAAACAACCAACCCCAAAUGCGAGUGUUCUUUAAACUGUUUUAAGUCGUAUACGUUCAUUUUCAACAUGGGCCUUUUUUAUUGAAAUAUAUUUGUUGCAUGGCAUCAAUGUGAUUAAACUAUUUUUAUAUUAGGAACAGUUUUGCCAAUGUGUGAAAGAUGUGUGCCCUAGAGUACCCUUUAAAGAAUAACAUAUCAUUGCGUUUAUUCAGAUUUACUCAUCACGAAAAGUAUUGGUUUAUUAUUUACUUCAUGUUUUUUAUAUAUAUAUAUAUAUAUACUUGCAGGCAAAAGAAACUAUACACUUGAAAAUUCAAAUUAGCCAAAUGAUUAUCAACAUUAUUAAAGUUUUAGGGCUGAGAAUGCAAAAAAAACACCAUGUAUCUAAUGUUCAUCAUGUACAAACAUAUUG